UACGUAGGGGGCAAGCGUUGUCCGGAAUCAUUGGGCGUAAAGAGCGUGUAGGCGGCUCGGUAAGUCCGCUGUGAAAGUCCAGGGCUCAACCCUGGAAUGCCGGUGGAAACUGUCGAGCUAGAGUCCGGAAGAGGCGAGUGGAAUUCCUGGUGUAGCGGUGAAAUGCGCAGAUAUCAGGAGGAACACCAAUGGCGAAGGCAGCUCGCUGGGACGGUACUGACGCUGAGACGCGAAAGCGUGGGGAGGCAAACAGGAUU
rnacentral:rRNA from 1 species